rnacentral:rRNA from 1 species
UCGGGAAUUUUGGGCAAUGGGCGAAAGCCUGACCCAGCAACGCCGCGUGAGGGAUGAAGUAUUUCGGUAUGUAAACCUCGAAAGAAUGGGAAGAAUAAAUGACGGUACCAUUUAUAAGCUCCGGCUAACUACGUGCCAGCAGCCGCGGUAAUACGUAGGGAGCAAGCGUUGUUCGGCUUUACUGGGCGUAAAGGGCGCGUAGGCGGCGCGGUAAGUCACUUGUGAAAUCUCUGAGCUUAACUCAGAACGGCCAAGUGAUACUGCUGUGCUAGAGUGCGGAAGAGGCAACCGGAAUUCUUGGUGUAGCGGUGAAAUGCGUAGAUAUCAAGAGGAACACCUGAGGCGAAGGCGGGUUGCUGGGCCGACACUGACGCUGAUGCGCGAAAGCCAGGGGAGCAAAC